rnacentral:rRNA from 1 species
UACAGAGGUGGCAAGCGUUGUUCGGAAGUACUGGGCGUAAAGCGUGCGUAGGUGGUUUGUUAAGGCUGUUGUGAAAGCCCCGGGCUCAACCUGGGAAUGGCAAUGGAUACUGGCAAGCUAGAGUGCGGUAGAGGGUAGUGGAGUUCCCGGUGUAGCGGUGAAAUGCGUAGAGAUCGGGAGGAACACCAGUGGCGAAGGCGGCUACCUGGACCAGCACUGACACUGAGGCACGAAAGCGUGGGGAGCAAACAGG